GCGAGAUUAGCUUAAUAGGUAGAGCGCCGUACUUUUAAUACGGAGGUAUAUUGGUUCGAUUCCUUUAUCUCGCCA
rnacentral:tRNA from 1 species